rnacentral:tRNA from 1 species
GAAGGUGUAAGUUAAUUAUUAAACUUUGUGGUUCAUGUUCACACAAUGUGCUUUUAGUGCUGUCUUCU